rnacentral:tRNA from 1 species
AGUUCAAUGUGCUCAUCAGCGCCUGACCCUGAGAUGUGGAUCUUCAUGCAGGCCCCACUUGGCUCGGGGGGAUAUAG